GCUUGGAGGAGCACUGGUCAUGGAUGAACUUCACCUUGAUGGUCUCCAUGGGGCACACCACCAUCACAGCUUCGGCCACACCAGCACCCAGCCCACAGACAAGGCCCCGCGUGCUGUCCAGCCGGCCCUGCUCAUCCCUCAUCUGGUUGCUGAGGAACUCGAACAUGCCAAACCUGACAGCUGCCUUGGGGAUGGAGCCAUACACCAGUGAGCUGAGCCCACGGUACAGCCCCCGGACACCAUGGUCACGGACAGUCUGCUUCACGCAGUCCCCAAUGCCCUUGUAGCGAGGCGGGUUGGCCUUCUCGUCCAGCUGCAGCUGUGUCUUCACAUACUCAGUGGGGAAAGUAAUGCAGAUCUCAAUGCCUCCAGCAAGGCCACCCGCCAGGAUGGCCUUGCCGGGGUGCGUCAGCUUGGCCUUGCCGGCGGGGGCAGCAGCAGCGAGGCUGCGGGGACCAGCAGGCACGAGCAUGGCCGCGGAACUCCGCGGCUGCUACGCUGCUUGCAGCCACCGCCGUAUUUCAGGGCAGAACGGCAGAGCCGCGCCCACUGAGAGGCGGUGCCGGUGGCGUCACAUCCUCAUGUCGUGCUGCGGGGCGGGACUGGGCCCUCCACCCCAGGGGGCGGCACGCAGCCUUGGCAUAGUCGUGGCACCAGUGCGGUUUUCUCCCCGUGCUCGUAACCUAUCAGAGAAGCUCCCGACGGAUGGAAGGUGGUGUCGGCCAGGCAGCACUGAGUCACUCUGCUGGCGCUGCCUUUGUCCCGCUGAAGCAAAGCAACAAACCGCUGUCUCCAAACAGAACCCCCCAGAGCUCAUUGCAACCAGACCUUGCUAUAGAAUGCCCCUAUAAACCAGUGAGGUUUUCCUAACGCUGCUCUGUGUCUGAAGGAAGGCAAAUUUGGCCUCCUGUAGACAAAGAGUGCUUUAAAGUAGUUUUGCUUCUCCAGAGCCAGUUCACCUCAAACAAUGAUAAAGGCAAAGAAAGGAGAGCCCAAAGCAGUCAUCACACACAAAUGCCUACUAUAUAGCUUUGAAGAGAAACCUAAACAUUCUCAAUUAGCACUAGAGGGAAUGGCUUCAAGCUGUGCCAGGGAAGGUUCAGGCUGGACAUGAGGAAAUACUACUUCUCUGACAGGGUGGUCAGGCACUGGAAUGGGCUGCCCAGAAAGGUGGUGGAGUCACCGACCCUGGUGGUGUUCAAAGAGCGUUUGGAUGUUGUGUUGAGGGACAUGGUUUAGGCUAGAACCAUUGGUGAAGGGCAAAUGGUUGGACUGGAUGAUCCUGUGGGUCUUUUCCAACCUUAGCGAUUCUAUUAUGCAAGCUAAAAGGGGGCCUGGGAGCACACAGGAAUGUGGGAUUCUUUCAGGUCAUGCUGAGUAGUUCCACUGGGGAUCCAUUAUCUGCCACUGGUAAUGCACCUGCACGCACUGCACCAUGUGUGCUUCUGUUCUGUGCAUGAUGCUGGGCCCACAGCCCUUCAGAAGGCAGAGGUGAAAGCUGGGUUUACAGAAGUGCUGUCUUCCUUCCCACCUGGGAAAGCAGGGAGUGCUGCAGAGAGAUGAGGCAGGAAGGAGCUGCAUUCUGCACUGUGCCAGAGCAGCCUCCUUGCUCCCAACAGGGAAUGCUGUGCAAGAAAUCGCCCCAGCUGUGCACACAGAACAUUCCUGUUGAGACUUGCAAUGCAUGCAUUUUGAGAAGUGAUUCCUGCCUCAGUAAGGCUCCAUGCACAGGCAGCCAAGUCCGUCAGUGAAAGUUAACUCCCAGCAAGUGCUAGAGCUGCAGCUCCAU
rnacentral:lncRNA from 1 species